UAUGGCCACAUCACAUUGAAACACCAGUUCCCAUACUAUCACUGAAGUUAAGCAAUUUCGAGCUUGGUCAGUACUUAAAUGGGUGACCACUUGGGAAUACCAGGUGCUGGAAG
rnacentral:rRNA from 1 species